rnacentral:rRNA from 1 species
AGUGAACGCUGGCGGCGUGCUUAACACAUGCAAGUCGAACGGUAACAGAACUAGCUUGCUAGUUGCUGACGAGUGGCGCACGGGUGAGUAAUAUAUAGUUAAUGUGCCUCGAAGACUGGGAUAGCCACUGGAAACGGUGAUUAAUACUGGAUACUCCUUCUAAUCAUAAGAUUAGUCGGGAAACGUUUUUUCGCUUCGAGAUCAGACUAUAUCCCAUCAGUUAGUUGGUAGUGUAAGAGACUACCAAGGCAAUGACGGGUAGCGGGUUUGAGAGGAGUGAUCCGCCACACGUGGUACGUGAGACACGGACCAGACUCCUACGGGAGGCAGCAGUGAAGGAAUAUUGCACAAUGGGCGAAAGCCUGAUGCAGCAACGCCGCGUGGAGGAUGACGCAUUUCGGUGUGUAAACUCCUUUUAUAUGUCAAGAAAAUGACGGUAGCAUAUGAAUAAGCACCGGCUAAC